UUGAGAUGGCCUCUCGCCCUAUUCAGUGUAACAGCUGUGGUAGUGGGUUUGGUCGCUCGCAUUUAAAUUGGAAGGGUAAUGGUGGACCGCACUUCUCCCUUAGUAGGACGUUGCGACCUGUCAAAUAAUAUCCUAAGUAUUUGGCUAAUUUGUCUGUUUUUAGGCAGUACUGAAAGGUAUUUCCUUUAACAGUUUUAGCCGUUUACAUACUGGAUAUAAUUGACAGUAACGAAUCAUGGUGUUGAGCCACUUACUUUGUAAGUGUCCUUUAUGGCUGUUUGCAAGUGGGUUGGUUAAUUAGUUUUAGUCGGAUUUUGGUCCGUCUAACUAUUCCGCCUACUGUUGGUAAACUGUUCCUUGGACAGUGCUUAUAACACCGGUCGGCAGCGAUUCAGGUUCAGGCUCUUAUCCGACCCGUCUUGAAACACGGACCAAGGAGUUUAGCGUGUACGCAAGUCAUUGGGUGUAUAAAACCCAAAGGCGCAA
rnacentral:rRNA from 1 species